rnacentral:rRNA from 1 species
CUCCCUUUGGUCUUCCCAUGCCACAUGCACGUGCUCGAGCAGCCCGUGCGUCAACUACUCUACUAUCCAAUCCAUGGUCCCCGGCCGGCUAUAGCUUCGAUUUCUCUCCAUGCAUGCACUUGCCGCGUGAAUCACCGUCACCAGUUCACCACGACCCCAGACUUGUUGUCUUGUGCGCCAGUGGACACGAACGCCGCGUACGGCCGGACGGCGACUCGUCGUCGUCGUCUUCUCGUCCAGUUAGCCCACGUCCACCUAUCCUUUCUUCUCUUCUCUCCAGUGUACUCUCCACGCACGGCACCUCGCCUCCCCUCAUCCUCUCUCUUCCUCCCCUCCCCUCCCAGCUUCGUGGCACCGUUCAGGGCUAUGGCCACCACCGCCGCCGCACUGCCCUCGGGCUACUUCGGCUCCGUCCAGGGCCGGCCCACGCGCCUCGCUCCGGCAGCCAGCGGACGUAACUGUCUGCUCCUCCGCUGCUCCGCGUCGGGUGGUGAUGGCUCUGGCGGCCCCGACCCGGUCCUCGAGGAGCAAAAGCGGCGUCGGGCCGAGCUCUCCGCUCGCGCUUCCUCUGGAGAGUUCACCGCCCCAGGCACCGGGUCAGUGCUCCCCGGCGAAUUCCUCGUCGUCUCUGGCAUUUCUUUCACGUGUAGCUCCGGUGGUGAUCGGAUGGCUGGCCAAGCUGGGCCCGCCGGGGGCGCUCGCGGUUGGGCUCCUCAAGGUAGCGGGCGUCGGCGCGGCGCGCAGGGGCCCGGAGCUGCCGCAGGUGGCAGGGUCGCUGGCUGCCGGGGACGCCAUCUUCCUGCCGCUCUACGACCACUUCCUCAAACACGGCGGCGUCUUUCGCCUCAACCUCGGGCCCAAGUCUUUUGUCAUCGUCUCUGAUCCAGAUAUAGCUAAGCAUAUCCCCAGGGACAACUCCAAGGCUUAUUCCAAGGGUAUUCUUGCGGAAAUACUGGAGUUUGUAAUGGGUACGGGUCUGAUCCCAGCUGACGGGGAGGUUUGGCGUGUUCGACGGCGUGCCAUUGUACCAUCAUUGCAUCAGAAGGUUUUGUGUGACCAAUUUCGAACUAAAACCAGGACAAUUAUUUUGGAAUGAAGAGAGUAGCUUCCUACUCGCUAUUAAGGUUUUGUGUUUACUGCUUUCUUUCUAUAGGAAUUUUGUUCACUUUUGAAUUCUGUUGAGCAGUUUGUGACGGAGAUGAUAGGUCUCUUUGGGAAAGCUUCAGACCGGCUGUGUCAGAAGUUGGACAAGGCGGCAUUGGAUGGGGCGGAUGUGGAGAUGGAAUCUUUGUUCUCUCGACUUACAUUGGAUGUCAUUGGGAAGGCAGUAUUCAAUUAUGAUUUUGAUUCAUUAUCUUAUGAUAAUGGAAUGGUUGAGGCUGCGUAUGUAACACUACGAGAAGCGGAAAUGCGGAGCACUGCUCCUAUACCAACUUGGAAAAUACCAAUAUGGAAAGACAUCUCCCCUCGGCAGAGGAAGGUUAAUGAAGCUCUUGUGCUAAUAAAUAAUGUUCUUGAUGAACUAAUUUCUACAUGCAAGAGAAUGGUAGAUGAAGAAGAUCUGCAGUUUCAUGAGGAAUAUAUGAAUGAGCAAGAUCCUAGCAUUCUCCGCUUUCUAUUGGCAUCCGGAGAAGAUGUCUCCAGCAAGCAGCUUCGUGAUGAUCUGAUGACAAUGCUCAUAGCUGGCCAUGAGACCUCUGCAGCAGUCCUAACAUGGACAUUUUACCUUCUAUCUAAGUGCCCAAAAGUAAUGUCCAAGCUCCAGGCUGAGGUUGAUGAUGUUCUAGGAGAUGGUUUACCAACAAUUGAGGAUGUGAAGAAACUAAAGUAUACUACUCGAGUUAUUAACGAAUCUUUGAGACUAUAUCCACAACCGCCAGUUUUAAUUCGUCGGUCCCUUGAGGAUGAUAUGCUAGGGGAGUACCCAAUCGGCAGGGGUGAAGACAUUUUUAUAUCCAUCUGGAAUCUUCAUCGCUGCCCAAAGCACUGGGAUGAUGCAGAUGUUUUUAGUCCGGAAAGGUGGCCUUUGGACGGUCCAAAUCCAAAUGAGACAAACCAAAAAUUCAGUUACUUGCCAUUUGGUGGCGGACCAAGGAAAUGUGUAGGUGAUAUGUUUGCUACUUUUGAGAAUGUGGUGGCAACCGCAAUGCUUGUCAAGCGGUUUGAUUUUCAGAUGGCUCCAGGACCACCUCUGGUCGAGAUGACAACCGGAGCAACGAUUCACACAACUAAAGGGUUGAACAUGACUGUUAGUCGGAGGACAAAGCCACCCGUAAUUCCAAUUUAGAGAUGAAAGUUGUUUCCGAUUCACAAGGAAGUGCAUGUUCUACUAUAUCAGUGGCUGUUUCCACUGCUGGUAUUGCUUCUAGAGAAGACCAACACCUGGAGGUGCCGAUAAGUCAAGUGUGAUACAUAACGAUGCGAGAAGGCAGGCUGUCUUGAUGAGGUGCCACCAGGCUGAUCUAUUGCUACUACUUGUUCUCUCAUUUGCCAAGAAUUUUAUUCCAUGGGAAAUUCACACACACACACCAGACCAUGUUUUAUCAACAUGCAUUCAGUGUUUCACAUUUUUAAUGGAAAUGAAAUGUGGCUACUGGAUGAAAGAGAGCUGAAAUUUUAACAAGUUUGUAUUCGGUGAUUAUGUAUUUCCAAAACGAAAUCGAUGCCUGAGGAUAGUUCAGAAAGCAAAUUUAUUAUUGUGAUUUAUAUGUUACUCACAUAUCUAGUAUAAGCUUGAAAGCGGUUUGUGGAACUUAUUAGGAAAACCAUUCCCCAAUCCCAAUCAGAGCUGGCUGUAGCUUAGCUUUCAUGACAAUGGUAUGUGUUCUCGUAGCAACAUAGAGAGAGCUUGGCUGUUCGAUGUUAUUUACCAGUUAUCCCAUGGCUAGAAAAAUUCUGAACCAUUUUUGUCCUCUAUGCUAGGUGUGUUGGUCAUCUGUCUUGUAGAUGACAAGAUAAUGAUCUCUCUAUUUUGAAUUACUUUCCUCAUAGUUCUUGUCUGGCUAAAUCAGCAUUCAACAUGUCCAGUCUACAAAGGUACACCGUGCGUGGUGCAAGUUAUAUCAGUGGUAGUAAUUAAUCCAUCCAUGCUCGCCCGAAGAAUCAAGGCCAGACCCUUCUGUGUCGGUGCCUGUCUGCUCGAUGCAUUCACGGAGAAAUUUGUUGAGAUCAAUGAGACCAACUAGUCGAACCAGUUUGAAUUCUUGUAGCGUGUCGUCUAUGGAUGGAGGAAAUGACCUGAAUUUCGCCAUAUAUACCCUUGUGAACGACAAAUAGAACUCGACGCAUGCUUGAUCUAAAUCGUACUCAUACUCAUAUGCCAAUACUAGCUACAGCCCAAGACCAUUUUGUAUGGUGGUUAGGUCUGUCAGCCCAAGAACUUUUGCCUGCUAUAAGGCAUGAAAACAAAAAAACGUGUAAUUGGAUUUGGGUAGUUUGGCACAGGACCGGAGUCGUGCCAAGGCGACCGGACGUGAUUCCGUCGUGCUAGAGGCGUGCCUAGCAGGCUCGUCUAUCGGGGGAGCUAUGUAUCGCCUAAUGUGAGAUGAUAGCUCAUUUUGCCACUGGCGCGAACGCUAGUAAACCGGUCCUGUAGCUUCUACGGAGUGGUUUUGACAAUCUUCUAUGGACCGGUACAGACCGAUUUAAGGAGCUUUUUCGUGAUUUUUGUGUGUGUUUUCUUUAAUGGUACCUUUAUUUAUUUUUCUUUUGGGUUUUCCUAAAAAAAUGUUUUUCAAAUACAUGCAAACUUUUUCCAAAUACACGUUGAAUAUUCUUUCGUAUACAGGUUGAAAUUUUGAUUGAUACAUGUUAAACAUCUUUCAAAUACACAUUGAAUAUUUUUAAAAGUACACAUUAAAUAUAUAUUUUUAAAUACAUUGUGAAAAUUCUUUUGAUGUACAUGGUUUUUCAUAAAUGCUAGGAAAUACCCUUUUAAAUGUGCAAAUAUUUGUCAAGUGUUACAGUAAUGAAUGUUUUUAAUGGUAUGGACCUUUUCUUAAAUUGUAUAAUCAUUGUUAUAAAUUUCAAAAAUAUUUUUUGAAGGACGUGAACAUUUUUUAACAUUGCAUGAACAUUGUUUGAAAGUUUACGCACAUUUUUUCGGAACCCACGAGAACGAAAUUUGUAGCACCACCCAUGCAUUUUUAUAGUAUGCAGUGAUCCGUUUUUGGAAAUUAAAAAAAAAUAAGUUUCUUACAUAUCUAUAUUUAGAUAAUUUUGGAAAUUUAAAUAUAAGCUUUUUUCGAAUCUGGAAAUUCGAAUAUAAGUAAAAAAGACGAAACAAAACCUCGCACUGAGAAAGAGAAAACAAAAAGGCAAUGGGCCGGACCACUAAAGGCCAUUGUUGAGGUGAGGGAUUCCUUUGUCUCAUGGGACCUCCUUCUUCGAGAUUCGUAUUAGCCGCGUGUUGCGGCAAAUUGACCCAUCUGCGCACAUGGAAGCGCACAAGCGAAGCAUGCGAGUCGGCCCAGUUAACGUGUUGCCUCUUUCCGGUUUUGGGAACCUUCUAGUUCGUGACCUAUUUUGGGAACCUUCUAGAAGGUCCUUGAAACCGAUUUGUUUUUGUUUUUCCAUUUUUUUCCUUUUCUUUUUGUUUUUUAUAUUUCUUUUUUCCACCUGACACCUAUUUAAGCGGCUCUUCUCACCGCUAGCUUAUCCUAUUUUGAUACUUCUGUCAUUUCAUCCUCGUAUGGGUGCAGAACCCGUCGAUGUAUCGGCUGUGAUACCGGAGGCUCUAGAGAAGUCGGAGGAGAGAUCACUGAUUGGCAAAGAUAAACAGAGUACGUUACAAUAAAUUAAUCGGUCACUUGAAUAUUCAAGAGCAGUGAUGUAAUCGUUUACCUUUUUACUUACUUAUUUAGUAGUCUUAGAUUUUUCAUUUUGAUGAGCCUCGCUUUGUGGAAUUUAUGAAAUAAUCUAUUUUUACGGAAUAAUGAAUUAAGGAAGAAAGGAUAUGAAUCUACCGUUUACGAGAAAAGAUUUCAUGAUACUCAAUAUUGGCCCCGAACACACAUCAAUGCAUGGUGUUCUUCAACUGUACGUUACUCUCGA